rnacentral:rRNA from 1 species
CGCUGAAGGGAGAGCUUGCUCUUCUGGAUGAGUUGCGAACGGGUGAGUAACGCGUAGGUAACCUGCCUGGUAGCGGGGGAUAACUAUUGGAAACGAUAGCUAAUACCGCAUAAGAGUAGAUGUUGCAUGACAUUUGCUUAAAAGGUGCAAUUGCAUCACUACCAGAUGGACCUGCGUUGUAUUAGCUAGUUGGUGGGGUAACGGCUCACCAAGGCGACGAUACAUAGCCGACCUGAGAGGGUGAUCGGCCACACUGGGACUGAGACACGGCCCAGACUCCUACGGGAGGCAGCAGUAGGGAAUCUUCGGCAAUGGACGGAAGUCUGACCGAGCAACGCCGCGUGAGUGAAGAAGGUUUUCGGAUCGUAAAGCUCUGUUGUAAGAGAAGAACGAGUGUGAGAGUGGAAAGUUCACACUGUGACGGUAUCUUACCAGAAAGGGACGGCUAACUACGUGCCAGCAGCCGCGGUAAUACGUAGGUCCCGAGCGUUGUCCGGAUUUAUUGGGCGUAAAGCGAGCGCAGGCGGUUAGAUAAGUCUGAAGUUAAAGGCUGUGGCUUAACCAUAGUACGCUUUGGAAACUGUUUAACUUGAGUGCAAGAGGGGAGAGUGGAAUUCCAUGUGUAGCGGUGAAAUGCGUAGAUAUAUGGAGGAACACCGGUGGCGAAAGCGGCUCUCUGGCUUGU